rnacentral:rRNA from 1 species
ACGCACGCUGGCGGCGUGCCUAAUACAUGCAAGUAGAACGCUGAAGGCGGAGCUUGCUUCUCUGGAUGAGUUGCGAACGGGUGAGUAACGCGUAGGUAACCUGCCUGGUAGCGGGGGUUAACUAUUGGAAACGAUAGCUAAUACCGCAUAAUAUUAGAUGUUGCAUGACAUUUGCUUAAAAGGUGCAAUUGCAUCACUACCAGAUGGACCUGCGUUGUAUUAGCUAGUUGGUGGGGUAACGGCUCACCAAGGCGACGAUACAUAGCCGACCUGAGAGGGUGAUCGGCCACACUGGGACUGAGACACGGCCCAGACUCCUACGGGAGGCAGCAGUAGGGAAUCUUCGGCAAUGGACGGAAGUCUGACCGAGCAACGCCGCGUGAGUGAAGAAGGUUUUCGGAUCGUAAAGCUCUGUUGUAAGAGAAGAACGAGUGUGAGAGUGGAAAGUUCACACUGUGACGGUAUCUUACCAGAAAGGGACGGCUAACUACGUG